rnacentral:lncRNA from 1 species
UAUGAUGUCUUCCCAAUUCUCCAAAUCCAAAAUGUGUUAUCCAGACUUCCAGUUCCUCCACAACAGCUUCACUCCCAACUCCCAAUGCCUCCUGUCCCCUAUCACAAUUAAUUUGACGGUCCAAAGAGGAUUAAAGGCAUGGUUAGCUAAGCUCUUAAAGAAACCUACUGCGGUUUGAACACUCGGAUAUAUAGUGCCAAUAUAUAUAGGC